AUGCUUGCUUUGGCAGCACAUAUACUAAAAUUGGAAUUAUACAGAGAUUAGCAUGGCCCCUGCGCAGGGAUGGCACACAAAUUUGUGAAGCAUUCCAUAUUUUU
ensembl:snRNA U6 U6 spliceosomal RNA